GGGAAAUUAAUAGAGCAGAAAAUUUGAAAUGAUGUGGAAAUAAUUCUUCUGGCUUAAGGAGAGCUCCUCGUAUGCUUAAUUUCAGAACACAACUGUUUGCGUGUUGCUAAAUUACAGUAUCAAGGCAAGGAGCCCUGACUGGAGCUUAUGGGACACGGGGACAUUUCCACUCGUGUGGAGAGCUUUCCCACCUGGAGCAAGGUAAGGGUAGGGGUGACCCGAGUUUGCCGUGGGGUUGGGCCACAGGGUGGUGGAGGUUUUUCUUGGAAGAUCUGGAGUGCUGCUUAUGGCCUUCAUGAAGAUUUGUCCUGUCACCUUUUCAUUCCUAGCUUGGCCCUGCCAUAAGCAGCUGGGGCAGGGAAAGGGAAUGGGGAGGUCUCUGAAGUUUCUGCUGCCUCCAACCCUGCAGCAUUUCCAAAACUCUGCUCCCUUUUCAUCAAAGGGAUGUCUGUCCCAUUCGUUGUGCCAAGCAAAGAGGCUGAGGCACAGCCAGGCCUGGGACCUGGACAAGCCAGCAGGGACAAGAGGUUGUAGCAAUGAUGGGAAGGGAGGAGGAAAAGCUCUUGUUGGAUGGAAACGUCUUGAAUCUGCCCCGUGUGCGGGGUCUGGCACCAGCUGCGAGGAUGCCACCGAUGCCCUGACCUGGUCUGCCACCCCACAGCUCCCUUGGCCUGUGGGAUGGCAGAUGGAGUCCAAAGCCCGAAGUCCAGAAGAAGCACAAGCCGUCGGCCUCCACCUCAGCCUGGCAGGAGCCAUCGCAGCCCCUCGCCAUCCUCAUCCCCAGGUUAAGCCAGCCCUUGCUGUACAGACCGCAGCAGUACAGGACGGUGAGGAUACUCCCUGGUCCUCAGAGCCUGGAUUUCCCACCUGGGUAGGACCUUCUGGGCCAUCUCCGUGUCACACUGAAUUUUUCAGGGUCCCGAGGUUGUCCCUGCUGCUCUGUCUCUACCUGGCUGGAGGUCAUAAGCUGCGGCAGUGA
rnacentral:lncRNA from 1 species